rnacentral:pre_miRNA from 1 species
AUGCGGGGUCCUCGGGCUACAACACAGGACCCGGGCGCUGCUCUGACCCCUCGUGUCUUGUGUUGCAGCCGGAGGGACGCA